rnacentral:rRNA from 1 species
GUAGUCAUAUGCUUGUCUCAAAGAUUAAGCCAUGCACGUCUAAGUAUAAGCAAUUUAUACCGUGAAACUGCGAACGGCUCAUUAAAUCAGUUAUCGUUUAUUUGAUAGUACCUUACUACUUGGAUAACCGUGGUAAUUCUAGAGCUAAUACAUGCUAAAAACCCCGACUUCGGAAGGGGUGUAUUUAUUAGAUAAAAAACCAAUGCCCUUCGGGGCUCCUUGGUGAUUCAUAAUAACUUAACGAAUCGCAUGGCCUUGCGCCGGCGAUGGUUCAUUCAAAUUUCUGCCCUAUCAACUUUCGAUGGUAGGAUAGUGGCCUACCAUGGUUUCAACGGGUAACGGGGAAU